CGUGCCGUGGGCAUGUCGCUAGCGUUGGCGUGAUUUUUGAGCGUUGCACGGCUUUUACAACGUUCAGGACAUGACAUGUAUCGAGCUUGUAACAUAAGACAAGCUUCGCGAGCGAUGCGUGUCAACGCCACUCGCUGUCGCUGAGUCGAGCCGUUGCGUUUUGCGUAGUUCAUACGCCGUCGGGGAACUUGGCUGUGCUAGCUGCCGCGAUGCAAGAAGCACCAAGCUCGCCGAAAACAGUCGUGGUGGUGCUUUGAAAACACGUGGUUUUAUCCAUCGGCAGUUACGGGCGACACAUCGCCGACACUUGGAAGUUGGCGUCCGUGCUACGAUUUAUAAAAAAAAGGAAAACAAAAUAGAAAAGAGACGACGGUGUCAGCGGCGUUGCAUCGCGGCGUCCGCGUUCGCUGUGGCGAGUUCGUUACCUGCACAGCUGCACUGCGUUCACACUUGCGAAGUGAUGGUGGGUGAUGGAUGCCGUGGGUAGGGCUGAAGGAUGUUCGACUUGCGGAAUCGGGACUUUCAAGAACAGGCAGGAGCAGUUUCAGCAUAGUUUCUCAUUGGAACACCACACAAGAGUUGACGAGCAAUCUCAGUCGACUUGGUAUCACAUCUGCGACCUCUGCAAGAAAAAGGCAGGGCCACUGCAGAACUUUGCUGACCACCUUUGUGGCCGCAAACAUCGCCGGGCGGUUGAGAUGUACAAGGAAACGUGGUUUGGCAAAGGAAGAAGCAUCCAGAGCGAAGCCUAAACCAAGCCUAAAACAGAGUGAAAGAGCAAAGGGUGUGUCCAAAGCCAACAAAAAGAAGCCACUUUCCAAGGCAAAACAGGUCAAAAAGGUGACAGCCAAGCAGUACAGAGGCUCAAAAAAGCCGACAAACCGUGCGGCCGUCGGCAAAAAGAGCACUAAGCAGGUCCUCAAGAACUGUGAUCGAAAGACUAGGUACGGCAACCAAGGGCACCAAAGGUCAAACGAUACCAAUUCACAGGACUACAAAGACAACCAGCAAAAGGAGCCGUCAAGAAGGGGGAGUUGGCCAUCUGACGGAUCAGGAGCCAAACCAAGCAAGAGGCCGUCUGUUCAACGGGACAGCAGUGAGCCAACACCGUGUCUGAGAUCAAGAGACGACACUCGCAACCCUUCCUCCAAGGACAGCUCCUUUGAGGGUGACUCAUCACUGGUAGAAGAGCCUGGCGACGACGGUGACUACGAAAUGAACAGGAACUGGAAUGGGCCCCCUCGUUUCCCGAUGAACCCGUAUGGUAGAGGGGCCUUCAUGGGCUAUGGUGGACGGGGUAAUCCUCCUUGGAACAGACCUCCUCCACCCCGACACCCUUUCAACCGGUACGAGGGUCCCAGGCAAUUUAAUAGGUACAGCCGUCAUCCGCCGGCAGAGAGCCCCUCCCCGUGGAGCAGCGACGACUACGGCUGUGGCUUUGGAUCGUAUGGAAACGGUGGGUGGCAAGGUGGCAACAAGUCUUGGAAUCGGGAUGCGCACGAGAACGACACACGUCACGACAACGACAGUGCCGGCAGACACGGCGGUCACAGGUCACAUCACCAUUCUCCAGAAAACACGUCCAAGACUGAUAGUCACAGUGAACACGCUGCGACUGGGGCUAGCAAGGAACAAGGUGAAAAACCAGCAAGCUGCAAUAACAGUAGCAGCAGCGCCAGCAGUUCAUCUAAGUCACAUGGUCAGGGCUCUAACGGAAAGCCCUCUGUGUCCGCAAAGUCAAGUACUCCAGCAAGCACCAGGUCCAGAUCAAGUACUCCAGCAAGCACCAGUGAACACAGCAGCAGCAAGGUGUCAUCGUUACCAGCAAAACUUUCAAAAUCAGCCGCUGGAGGAACAGCAACGGCCGCCUCGGCGGAAGAACCACCAGCUAGGAGAGGAGAAGGCGGCGCAAAGAGUGAUUUGUUGUCGCGCCAGUCUCAGAAGAAAGAUGUUCAGAUGCAGGAGCCAAGCAAACCUGUCAGCAAGAUUGUCAAAAAACCUUCAUUGCAAACUCCCGCCAUCAAGUUUACCUCCAAGAAGGCAGUUGCAACAUCCAGUCCAAGGCCGUCCCCCAGAAGUAAAUCGGCGGAUGGGUCGAAAGCAUUGGCAAGUCCUAUGAGAACAGGAGCAACAAGUUCAUCGGCACCACCAAGCAUGGUUGUUGGUAAACCAAGGCCCACAACUAGGAGCGGCACUUCGCCCUCACCGGCGGCGACUGAGAUGAAAAUAAAAGUGAAACAGGAGGCCAGCAAGGACAUGGGAAGUUCAACAGAAAACACCGUGGCUGCAUCAUCAUCUUCAUCUAAUCGGAAUCACCUCAUAUUUCUCUCCUCUGAAGAGGAAGAUGCAGACGCACCCGGUGAAACUGCGACAUUGAAGAAGAAGGCAAGACCGGAUGGCGACACCACGACGACCGAGAAGACGGUGCCAAGGCCAAAACACUGCAAUCCUGCUGCAGCAGCCAUGCCGCCUCCCAGCCCGGAUAGGGGGGAGCCUCAGGUGAAGAAGGUGGUUUUGAAGAGCCCAAAACUUGGGCCGCUUUCGACCAAGGACAUGUACCGUAGAGAUGUUCUGGACAAGCUGGUGAACUUCCCGUCAUCACCACAGGUGCAGGCGCAGCUCAACAAGUGGAUGAUGGAGAUGCAGAAGUCCCAAAGAUCUGUGACAUCGCGGAAGACGAUGAGGCUGUGCGCGACACAAGCUCGCCUGGGGCAGGAGGACGACGCCUUGCUGGGCAGCAUCCCCAACAUUGAUUUCGACGUGCUCCUCAGGCAGGUUGAGUCAUGCGAGCUCCCCGAGGAGAUGCUCAAGAGCCUAAUGCAGGCUCUCAACACAGAUGCGGAGCAGCCUCACUCGACCGCGGGUGAAGCACCGUCAUUGAUCGCGGCAAGUCUCGGCUCGAAAGGGAGUAGUCUGCACUUAACAUCAGAGUUGAGGGCAAGUCCUCGAUCGACGCCGCCUAUGGGCGGCGCAGCUGCAAAGUCUGUUGCCAUAAAAACGAGUCCGGCUUCCGCGAAGAUCUCGAGCGCUGCGGAGAGCCUGGGUUCAAAGAGCGCUUCAGGUGUUUCCACGAAGUCAGCAGCAACGACGAGCUCAUGCGGGGGCUGGCACUUCGUCUUCAGAGGACGAGUGCAUGGUGGUUCCGACCCCAAAGAAAAAUGUGGUGCCUGUGCUGAUAGACUCGGAUGACAACGGCUCGACGGACGACGAAGACAACAAGCCAAGCACAACAACGCCAACGGUAAAGGCGUUGGGUGGAAAGACCACACCUGAACAUUGUGCUCAGUCAUCGUCGCCGCUGGCACAGGAAGGCGGCCAUCGAGUGCGCAAGAUUCAAAAGCUUGCACGAAGAAAAGGCAGGCAGCCUUCUGAGAGCAUGGACGGCAGCCUCACUGACAGCGCCGCGGCAUCCUCAAGGCCUGUCGAAAGCAGCAGCAAUGCUAGGGCGGUGGAAUUGUCCCAAGAGUCGAAGAGGCUGUCACCGAGGUUGAAGAGCACCACACCCACCACUGCUGCUGGCUCUACGGCCAUGGUCACGUCGUCGGUAGCGUCCAGCAGUCGCGGCAGGUGCUCUGCACAGAUGUCAGUUUCCCCGCCCACCUUUCCAGAGGCUCCUUUGGAGCAGGUAGCAGCAGGGCACUCGCCGCUGCCAAACAGUUCCAAGCUCGCCACCACCACCGUCGGUGGCAAUUGUAGCCAAAGUGGAGCCACCCCCAACACCACCACCUCCUGCCGCGCUGCCUGAAGAUGCUGUGCCGCUGGAUGC